rnacentral:rRNA from 1 species
GGAGGAAAAGAAACCAACUGGGAUUACCUUAGUAACGGCGAGUGAAGCGGUAAAAGCUCAAAUUUGAAAUCUGGUACUUUCAGUGCCCGAGUUGUAAUUUGUAGAAUUUGUCUUUGAUUAGGUCCUUGUCUAUGUUCCUUGGAACAGGACGUCAUAGAGGGUGAGAAUCCCGUUUGGCGAGGAUACCUUUUCUCUGUAAGACUUUUUCGAAGAGUCGAGUUGUUUGGGAAUGCAGCUCAAAGUGGGUGGUAAAUUCCAUCUAAAGCUAAAUAUUGGCGAGAGACCGAUAGCGAACAAGUACAGUGAUGGAAAGAUGAAAAGAACUUUGAAAAGAGAGUGAAAAAGUACGUGAAAUUGUUGAAAGGGAAGGGCAUUUGAUCAGACAUGGUGUUUUUUGCAUGCACUCGCCUCUCGUGGGCUUGGGCCUCUCAAAAAUUUCACUGGGCCAACAUCAAUUCUGGCAGCAGGAUAAAUCAUUAAGAAUGUAGCUACUUCGGUAGUGUUAUAGCUUUUUGGAAUACUGUUAGCCGGGAUUGAGGACUGCGCUUCGGCAAGGAUGUUGGCAUAAUGGUUAAAUGCCGCCCGUCU